rnacentral:rRNA from 1 species
UACUCCUACGGGAGGCAGCAGUGGGGAAUAUUGGGCAAUGGGCGAAAGCCUGACCCAGCAACGCCGCGUGAAGGAAGAAGGUCUUCGGAUUGUAAACCUCUGUCUUUGGUGACGAAGAAGUGACGGUAGCCAAGGAGGAAGCCACGGCUAACUACGUGCCAGCAGCCGCGGUA